AUGGUGCAGAUACUAUCUAUCAUCCACAGCAAAAAGGGGACUCUGAGUAGCAUGCCGUACAUACCAGCUGACGUCACAAACGUACGGGCAAGGUACCGUAGAGAGAGCAAGUUGGCAGACAUAGAGGCCACAAUUGCCUACUUCGAUGAGAAAGCCAAAGAAGAUGCAGAUUUCUUCUACAGGAUAAGGUUGGACGAUGAGGACCGUGUCAGGAACAUGUAUUGGGUGGAUGGUGCUGCAAGGAGA
rnacentral:rRNA from 1 species